rnacentral:rRNA from 1 species
GACGAACGCUGGCGGCGUGCUUAACACAUGCAAGUCGAACGGGAUAAUUUGAGAGCUUGCUCUUAGAGAAUCUAGUGGCACACGGGUGAGUAACACGUAGACAACCUGCCGACAGGAUGGGGACAACAUUCCGAAAGGAAUGCUAAUACCGAAUGAAGCGGAGGAGAGGCAUCUCUCGUCCGUGAAAGCUGGCCUCUGAUUAUGCUAUCACCUGUCGAUUGGUUUGCGUCUGAUUAGCUAGCUGGUGAGGUAACGGCUCACUAAGGCGGCGAUCAGUAGCCGGGCUGAGAGGAUGAACGGCCACAUUGGGACUGAGACACGGCCCAGGCUCCUACGGGGGGCAGCAGUGGGGAAUCUUCCGCAAUAGGCGCAAGCCUGACGGAGCAACGCCGCGGGAGUGAAGAAGGUCUUCGGAUCGUAAAGCUCUGUUGGCGGGGACGAACAUGCGAAGGGUGAAUAAUCCUUUGUAAUGACGGUACCUGUCGAGGAAGCCACGGCUAACUACGUG